UACGGAAUGUGCAAACGUUAUUCGGAAUCACUGGGCUUAAAGAGUCCGUAGGCGGCUUGUUAGGUGAGGUGUGAAAUCCCUCGGCCCAACCGAGGAAUUGCGCUUCAAACCGGCAAGCUAGAGGAGGAUAGAGGUGGGCGGAACUGAUGGUGGAGCGGUGAAAUGCGUUGAUAUCCACAGGAACUCCGGUGGCGAAGGCGGCACGCUGGAUCUCUACUGACGCUGAGGCGCGAAAGCCAGGGGAGCGAACGGG
rnacentral:rRNA from 1 species